rnacentral:rRNA from 1 species
GACGAACGCUGGCGGCGUGCUUAACACAUGCAAGUCGAACGGAAAGGCCCUGCUUUUGUGGGGUGCUCGAGUGGCGAACGGGUGAGUAACACGUGAGUAACCUGCCCUUGACUUUGGGAUAACUUCAGGAAACUGGGGCUAAUACCGGAUAGGAGCUCCUGCUGCAUGGUGGGGGUUGGAAAGUUUCGGCGGUUGGGGAUGGACUCGCGGCUUAUCAGCUUGUUGGUGGGGUAGUGGCUUACCAAGGCUUUGACGGGUAGCCGGCCUGAGAGGGUGACCGGCCACAUUGGGACUGAGAUACGGCCCAGACUCCUACGGGAGGCAGCAGUGGGGAAUAUUGCACAGUGGGCGGAAGCCUGAUGCAACAGCGCCGCGUGCGGGAUGACGGCCUUCGGGUUGUAAACCGCUUUCGCCUGUGACGAAGCGUGAGUGACGGUAAUGGGUAAAGAAGCACCGGCUAACUACGUG